rnacentral:rRNA from 1 species
AUUGAACGCUGGCGGCAGGCCUAACAUAUGCAAGUCGAACGGCAGCACAGAAGAGCUUGCUCUUUGGGUGGCGAGUGGCGGACGGGUGAGUAAUGUCUGGGAAACUGCCCGAUGGAGGGGGAUAACUACUGGAAACGGUAGCUAAUACCGCAUAACGUCGCAAGACCAAAGUGGGGGACCUUCGGGCCUCACACCAUCGGAUGUGCCCAGAUGGGAUUAGCUAGUAGGUGGGGUAAUGGCUCACCUAGGCGACGAUCCCUAGCUGGUCUGAGAGGAUGACCAGCCACACUGGAACUGAGACACGGUCCAGACUCCUACGGGAGGCAGCAGUGGGGAAUAUUGCACAAUGGGCGCAAGCCUGAUGCAGCCAUGCCGCGUGUAUGAAGAAGGCCUUCGGGUUGUAAAGUACUCUCAGCGGGGAGGAAAGCGGUGAGGUUAAUAACCUUGCCGAUUGACGUUACCCGCAGAAGAAGCACCGGCUAACUCCGUGCCAGCAGCCGCCGUAA